GCAGCUACUACUCUCUAGAGAAGGCCUGUGGAUCAUCUUCAUUGUCAUCGUCAUCUGCGUAUCUGCAUCCUCAUCACUGCAUCAUCACCAGCACCAUUUAUUAAACACAAGGCCAGAUGUUUUAUCCUGCUGUGUUAAGUCAUCUUGACAUGUUGCCAUGAAAUGGAAACAACUGCUCGUUUUAAUAUUGCUCCAUAUCUUUAUUACAAGUGGACCUGUGUGCUUGCAUUAUGUGAAAAAGAGGAACCUCUGCUGGACUGCAGUGGCUGCUGCAGGAGUGAUGGGGUCUGCAGGUACUCUGACUGAAGACACAUGGCCCAGCAUCUUCUCUAUUCAUACCUCAUCAAAAGCAUGAAUUCACAUCUGGAUGCAGCACCUGGGGAGGAGCAUCGACAAAGAGGCCCAUGUUCAGAAUCAUUUCCCUAUCUGUAUCAUGAAAGUGACAAUCCCUAUGUUAUAUAGUUUCUGGAAAGAACA
rnacentral:lncRNA from 1 species